rnacentral:rRNA from 1 species
GACGAACGCUGGCGGCGUGCUUAACACAUGCAAGUCGAACGGAAAGGCCUCUUUCGGGGGGUACUCGAGUGGCGAACGGGUGAGUAACACGUGAGUAACCUGCCCUUGACUUUGGGAUAACUUCAGGAAACUGGGGCUAAUACCGGAUAGGAGCUCCUGCUGCAUGGUGGGGGGUGGAAAGUUUCGGCGGUUGGGGAUGGACUCGCGGCUUAUCAGCUUGUUGGUGGGGUAGUGGCUUACCAAGGCUUUGACGGGUAGCCGGCCUGAGAGGGUGACCGGCCACAUUGGGACUGAGAUACGGCCCAGACUCCUACGGGAGGCAGCAGGGGGGAAUAUUGCACAAUGGGUGGAAGCCUGAUGCAGCAACGCCGUGUGCGGGAUGACGGCCUUCGGGUUGUAAACCGCUUUCGCUCAUGACGAAGCUUUGUGUGACGGUAGUGGGUAAAGAAGCACCGGCUAACUACGUG